rnacentral:rRNA from 1 species
GAUGGGGGUGCGCUAGCGCAUGCAGUCGAACGCUAAAGCUUGCUGCUUGCACUGGGUGGAUGAGUGGCGAACGGGUGAGUAAUACGUGAGUAACCUGCCCUUGACUCUGGGAUAAGCCUGGGAAACUGGGUCUAAUACUGGAUACGACGGCGCAUCGCAUGGUGUGUCGUGGAAAGGGUUUUACUGGUUUUGGAUGGGCUCACGGCCUAUCAGCUUGUUGGUGGGGUAAUGGCUCACCAAGGCGACGACGGGUAGCCGGCCUGAGAGGGUGACCGGCCACACUGGGACUGAGACACGGCCCAGACUCCUACGGGAGGCAGCAGUGGGGAAUAUUGCACAAUGGGCGGAAGCCUGAUGCAGCGACGCCGCGUGAGGGAUGACGGCCUUCGGGUUGUAAACCUCUUUCAGCACGGAAGAAGCGAGAGUGACGGUACGUGCAGAAUAAGCGCCGGCUAACUACGUGCCAGCAGCCGCGGUAAUACGUAGGGCGCAAGCGUUGUCCGGAAUUAUUGGGCGUAAAGAGCUCGUAGGCGGUUUGUCGCGUCUGCUGUGAAAGCCCGGGGCUUAACCCCGGGUGUGCAGUGGGUACGGGCAGACUUGAGUGCAGUAAGGGAGACUGGAAUUCCUGGUGUAGCGGUGAAAUGCGCAGAUAUCAGGAGGAACACCGAUGGCGAAGGCAGGUCUCUGGGCUGUUACUGACGCUGAGGAGCGAAAGCAUGGGGAGCAAACAGGAUUAGAUACCCUGGUAGUCCAUGCCGUACACGUUGGGCACUAGGUGUGGGGAACAUUCCACGUUUUCCGCGCCGUAGCUAACGCAUUAAGUGCCCCGCCUGGGGAGUACGGCCGCAAGGCUAAAACUCAAAGGAAUUGACGGGUGGCCCGCACAAGCGGCGGAGCAUGCAGAUUAAUUCGAUGCUACGCGAGAACCUUACCAAGGGCUUGACAUACACCGGACCGGGCCAGAGAUGGUCUUUCCCCCAUUGUGGGGCUGGAUGUACAGGUGGUGCAUGGGUUGUCGUCAGCUCGUGUCGUGAGAUGUGGGUUAAGUCCCGCAACGAGCGCAACCCCUCGCUUCUAUGCUGCUAGCCACGUGAUGUGGGCACUCAUAGUAGACUGCCGGGCAUCAACUCGAGAAAGGUGGGGAUGACGUCAAUCCAUCAUGCCCCGUAAUGUCUGACUUCACGCAAUGCUUACCAUUGCCAGGUACAAUGGGAUGGCUAUGCAUGAGGUGGAUCUAAGUCCAAAAGCAUGAAGCUUCUAUGA